UACGGAGGGUGCAAGCGUUAAUCGGAAUUACUGGGCGUAAAGCGCACGCAGGUGGCUGAGUCAGUCGAUUGUGAAAGCCCUGGGCUUAACCUGGGAAUUGCAGUCGAUACUACUCAGCUAGAGUAUGGGAGAGGGUAGUGGAAUUCCCGGUGUAGCGGUGAAAUGCGUAGAUAUCGGGAGGAACAUCAGUGGCGAAGGCGGCUUCCUGGACCAAUACUGACACUCAGGUGCGACAGCGUGGGGAGCAAACAGG
rnacentral:rRNA from 1 species